rnacentral:tRNA from 1 species
GGUGGCUCAGUGGUAGAGCGCUUGCCUUGCAAGCAUGAGGCCCUGGGUCCAAUUCCUCAGCACCA